rnacentral:misc_RNA from 1 species
GACGGAGGGCGCUAGCGUUGUUCGGAAUUACUGGGCGUAAAGCGCGCGCAGGCGGACUCAGCAAGUCGGGAGUGAAAGACCGGGGCUCAACCCCGGCCCUGCUUCCGAUACUGCGGGUCUAGGGACCGGUAGGGGUCGGCGGAAUUCCCGGUGUAGCGGUGGAAUGCGUAGAUAUCGGGAAGAACACCCGUGGCGAAGGCGGCCGGCUGGGCCGGGUCCGACGCUGAGGCGCGAAAGCGUGGGGAGCAAACAGG